UUGCCUAGAAGCAGCCAUCCUCAAAGGAGUGCGUAAUAGCUCACUGGUCGAGCGAUCCUGCGCCGAAAAUGAACGGGGCUAAGCGUUAUACCGAAGCUGCGGAUAAAUUUAUUUAUGGUAGGGGAGCGUUCUAUGUAGGGUGAAGCGUUAGCGUAAGCGGACGUGGACGGCAUAGAAGUGAGAAUGUCGGCUUGAGUAGCGAAAACAUGGGUGAGAAUCCCAUGCCCCGAAACCCUAAGGGUUCCUCCGGCAGGCUCGUCCGCGGAGGGUUAGUCUGGACCUAAGGCGAGGCCGAAAGGCGUAGUCGAUGGAUAACAGGUCAAUAUUCCUGUACCAGAUGUGUUUUGAGAAGGGGGACGGAGAAGGCUAACCAGGCCAGAUGUUGGUUACUGGUUCAAGCGUUCGAGGCUUUGAGAGAUGGAGAAAACAUCUUGAGCUAAGACGUGAGUACGAGCUGCUACGGCAGCGAAGUUGGUGAUGUCAUGCUUCCAAGAAAAGCUCUAUACUCGUUAAGACACAAAUGCCAGUACCCGAAACCGACACAGGUGGGGUGGUAGAGAAUACCGAGGGGCGCGAGAUAACUCUCUCUAAGGAACUCGGCAAAAUGGCCCCGUAACUUCGGGAGAAGGGGUGCCAGCGAGAGCUGGUCGCAGUGAAGAGGCGCAAGCGACUGUUUACCAAAAACACAGGUCUCCGCUAAGUCGCAAGACGAUGUAUGGGGGCUGACACCUGCCCAGUGCCGGAAGGUUAAGGAAGCUGGUUAGCUUUUAGUGAAGCUGGCGACUGAAGCCCCGGUGAACGGCGGCCGUAACUAUAACGGUCCUAAGGUAGCGAAAUUCCUUGUCGGGUAAGUUCCGACCCGCACGAAAGGUGUAACGAUUUGCGCGCUGUCUCGGAGAGAGGCUCGGCGAAAUAGAAUUGUCUGUGAAGAUGCGGACUACAUACACCCGGACAGAAAGACCCUAUGAAGCUUUACUGUAGUUUGAUAUUGUGCUCGGGCUCUGAAUGCGCAGAAUAGGUGGGAGACGUUGAAAUAGUGCUUGUGGGUACUAUUGAGUCAUCGGUGAGAUACCACUCUUUUAGAGCUAGGGUUCUAACGCUUACCCGUUAUCCGGGAAGCGGACAGUAUCUGAUGGGCAGUUUGACUGGGGCGGUCGCCUCCUAAAAGGUAACGGAGGCGCACAAAGGUUCCCUCAGGCUGGUUGGAAAUCAGUCGUUGAGUGCAAAAGCAGAAGGGAGCUUGACUGUGAGACCUACAAGUCGAACAGGGACGAAAGUCGGUUUUAGUGAUCCGACGGUUCUGCGUGGAAGGGCCGUCGCUCAACGGAUAAAAGUUACUCUAGGGAUAACAGGCUGAUCUCCCCCAAGAGUUCACAUCGACGGGGAGGUUUGGCACCUCGAUGUCGGCUCAUCGCAACCUGGGGCUGAAGUCGGUCCCAAGGGUUGGGCUGUUCGCCCAUUAAAGCGGUACGCGAGCUGGGUUCAGAACGUCGUGAGACAGUUCGGUCCAUAUCCGGUGUAUGCGCAGGAAUAUUGAGAGGAUUUCUCCCUAGUACGAGAGGACCGGGAGGAACGCACCUCUGGUGUGCCAGUUAUCGUGCCAACGGUAAACGCUGGGUAGCCAUGUGCGGAGAGGAUAACCGCUGAAAGCAUCUAAGUGGGAAGCCCACCUCAAGAUGAGUAUUGCCAUGGCUUAAGCCAGUAAGGUCACGGGAAGAACACCCGUUGAUAGGCUCUACGUGGAAGCUUGGUAACAAGUGCAGCGGAGGAGUACUAAUAGACCGAGGGCUUGACCAA
rnacentral:rRNA from 1 species